GCAACCUCCGCCUCCCGGAAGGGUAUUGCCUGUGUUGUACUCAUCUCUUUAUCAUAAGUGUCCUAAAUAAUGAAAGAACAAUUCUUCAAGAGAAAAGGAGUGGUCAGCCCCUUUACCCUCCUGUCAAGGAAAAUUAAGCCUGAAGGUCAUACUAUUGGAUGCUUAAAGGCCCUGCCGAUUCAUCACAAGACAGUUUCCACAAACUGAUGGGAGAGAGACACUUGCAAGGCUUAGCAGAGAACAACACUGUCAGUCUGGAGUAAGUGACAAAAAUAAGAAAGGGAAGUCUAUCCUGAUGCCCAGCCAGGGAAAAAUGGGAAGAAAGAGAAGAGAAGAGAAGAGACAGAGAGGUUAUCGCAGGAGUGGGACUGGUGACUAAAGAGGAAAUGAGACCUAAGCUAGCCUCCUUGCCAUGUGAUACUCUGCACCACCUUGAGACUCUGCAGAGAGUACCCACCAACAAGGAAGCUCUCACCAGAUGCGCCCCCUUGACCUUGGACUUCUCCACCUCCAGAACAGUACAAAAUAAAUUUCAUUUCUCAUAAAUUACUCAGUUUCAGAAAUCCUGUUUAAGCAACAGAAAAUGGACUAAGCUACUGCCCUGCUGAUCAGCCAGCCACCUGUACAUGUGCACACCCAGAUGACAUAUGCAAGAAUGUUCAGACCAUGGUAGAUGUUUCCAAAGAUGGCCCCCAUCAAGUCCUUACCCCUGUGCAUGCAUAUGCCCCUUCUCCCAUUCAGUUACCCCCCUUCCCUUGAGACUGAGUUGGUGCUGUAACUGCUUUUACCAAUAGGAUGCAGACAAAAAUAAUGUUCUGAGAAUUUCGAGAUCAAAACCUAACAGACUGAUAGCUUCCAUGUCCUUCUUCUUGGAACAUUCACUCAUAGAAUGCUCCCUCUCAGAACACAGAUACCAUGAGAGAAGUCCAACCGGGUCAUGUGGAGAGGCCACAUGGAAAAGAACUGAGGCCCAACAGCCCACACCACCUUCCAGUCAUGGGAAUGAACCUUAUUGGAUGUUCCAGCUUUGUCAAACCCCCAGAUGGCUUCAGACCCAACCAAGUUUAUGUGAAACAGAAGAGUCACACAGCUGAACCCACUCAACCCACUAAAUUGUGAGAGAUAAUAACAGGUUGUUGUUUGAAGCCACUACACUUUUUUGUGGUUAUGCCGCAACAGAAAAAUGAAACGCAGACCUCUCAAAAUCACAAGUCCACACUGUGAAUAUAUAAAUUUUAGCAAAGCACCCACUAUAGGCCUGCUUCUUUAAUAUAUAUUUUCUCAGUUAAUGCUCAAAACUAUGCUAAGACAUCAGCUUUCUCAUGGCAGAGAGAUUAUGUAAGAGGCAGAACUGAAACUCAAGGCACACUUCCUGGCCCUAAUUGAUGUGUUUGUCUCACUGCAUCUCAGAAGCUGGGACAAGUGACUCUGCGGGGUCAAUUCUCAGCUCUCUGAACAUGUAUCUGCUUUGGGGAUCAGUAUUACCAUGUGUGUUUUCAGGAUCAUGCUCUUCUAUCAUGUAGCCACCAAUGUGCGGCAAUGGAGAACUUUUUAUACAGUAUCCUAACAAAAAUUAGGAAGUCAUCAUUAGAUUCCCCCAAUCAAAUGUAUAAGACAGUACAGAAACAUAAUAAAAG
rnacentral:lncRNA from 1 species